GGGCUCGUGGUCUAGUGGUUAUGACGGCUGUCUCACACACAGCAGGUCGGGAGUUCGAUCCUCCCCGGGCCCA
rnacentral:tRNA from 1 species